rnacentral:rRNA from 1 species
CUAAAUACGAGUAUGUGAGCGAUAGUGAACCAGUACCGUGAGGGAAAGGUGAAAAGAACCCCGGGAGGGGAGUGAAAGAGAACCUGAAACCGUAUGUCUACAAGCAGUCGGAGCGAAAGCGACGGCGUGCCUAUUGAAGAAUGAACCAACGAGUUACGUGCACUAGCGAGGUUAAGUGGAAGACACGGAGCCGAAGCGAAAGCGAGUCUUAAGAGGGCGGAUAGUUAGUGUACGUAGACCCGAAACCGCAGUGAUCUACCCAUGUCCAGGUUGAAGCGCAGGUAAAAUUGCGUGGAGGACCGAACCUGUGAGCGUUGAAAAGCUUUAGGAUGAGAUGUGGGUAGAGGUGAAAUUCCAAUCGAACGCGGAGAUAGCUGGUUCUCCCCGAAAUAGCUUUAGGGCUAGCCUCAAGUAGUAAGUAUAGGCGGUAGAGCACUGAUCGGGCUAGGGGCCAUAAAGGUUACCGAACCCUGUCAAACUCCGAAUGGUUAUACUGUAGAGCUUGGGAGUCAGACUACGAGUGAUAAGAUCCGUGGUCAAAAGGGAAACAGCCCAGACCACCAGCUAAGGUCCCCAAUGUCGUACUAAGUGGAAAAGGAUGUGGGGUCUCUAAAACAACCAGGAUGUUGGCUUAGAAGCAGCCACCAUUUAAAGAGUGCGUAAUAGCUCACUGGUCGAGAGACCCUGCGCCGAAGAUUACCGGGGCUAAAGUACGAAACCGAAGCUGUGGCUACGACAUAUGUCGUGGGGUAGGGGAGCGUUCUGUGAGGGCUGAAGUCGUUCUGUAAGGAACGGUGGACUUCACAGAAGUGAGAAUGUUGGUAUGAGUAGCGAAAAGAAUGGUGAGAAUCCAUUCCACCGAAAGCAUAAGGAUUCCUGGGCAACGAUCGUCGUCCCAGGGUAAGUCGGGACCUAAUCCGAGGCAUGGAGCGUAGGAGAUGGACAACUGGCAGAUAUUCCAGUACCGGUAAUGAUUGUUUGAGCGAUGGAGUGACACAGGAGGGCAGGCAGGCAGGAGAUUGGUUGUUCCUGUACAAGCGUGUAGGAUGGGACGUAGGCAAAUCCGCGUACUGUGAGUCCGAGGCGUGAUGUGGAGGUUCCGGAAACGGAACUGAAGCUGCUGACCCCACACUGUCGAGAAAAGCUUCUAGUUAGAGAAUUACCGCCCGUACCGUAAACCGACACAGGUAUGCGGGGAGAGAAUCCUAAGGUGCGCGGGAGAACCCUCGUUAAGGAACUCGGCAAAAUGUACCCGUAACUUCGGGAUAAGGGUAGCCGCUGUUGUGAAGUCUGAACAGACGGAGCAUGAGGCGGUCGCAGAGAAGAGGCCCAAGCGACUGUUUACCACAAACACAGGUGCCUGCUAAAGAGAAAUCUGACGUAUAGGUGCUGACACCUGCCCAGUGCCGGAAGGUUAAGGAAGGAUGUCCGGAGCAAUCCAAAGCAUUCGACCGAAGCCCCGGUGAACGGCGGCCGUAACUAUAACGGUCCUAAGGUAGCGAAAUUCCUUGUCGGGUAAG